UCUCUUCCAGAGAAAACAAGAGGCACCACACCAUACUUCAAUUCUUUUCUUUAUAUGAAGACCAACUUUCUUCAUCGUCUUUGUUCUUAUUUACCACUAUUUCUCCUUACUCUAAAAAUUUAUUACUAUUUUUUGGUUUCUAGAUUUUGUUUGCUAUAAAAAUACCAUUUUUUACUGAUAGGUGUUGCCACUGUAACAGUGGCCGGUUUAACAAAACGAGACCAUAUCUGAACAAAGAACCACCAACUUGUCGGAAAGAUCUGAGAGCUUUAUCCCGUCGGAGAAAAUCUGAUCUCGUCGACCAUGAACUGACAGUGAAAGUAACGACCUGGCAACAGAAGUCUCGGUGUUGCUUAUGGUUCCACCGACAUUAUGAGUUACGAUUGAUAUAUUCUUACAGGAGAUGAAAUAGGGAGGAGAUGGGAUGCGUGGGAGAAAAAAUGGUGUUGUGGUUAUCGCCGAAUACCCAACACGGCGGAGGAGGG
rnacentral:lncRNA from 1 species